rnacentral:rRNA from 1 species
GUGCCAGCCGCCGCGGUAAUACGUAGGGUGCGAGCGUUAAUCGGAAUUACUGGGCGUAAAGCGUGCGCAGGCGGUUAUUUAAGUCAGGUGUGAAAGCCCUGGGCUUAACCUAGGAAUUGCGCUUGAGACUGGAUAGCUUGGAGUGCGGCAGAGGGAGGUGGAAUUCCACGUGUAGCAGUGAAAUGCGUAGAGAUGUGGAGGAACACCGAUGGCGAAGGCAGCCUCCUGGGCCAGCACUGACGCUCAUGCACGAAAGCGUGGGGAGCAAACAGGAUUAGAAACCCCCGUAGUCC